GAUGAACGCUGGCGGCGUGCCUAAUACAUGCAAGUCGAGCGAACAGAUAAGGAGCUUGCUCCUUUGACGUUAGCGGCGGACGGGUGAGUAACACGUGGGUAACCUACCUAUAAGACUGGGAUAACUUCGGGAAACCGGAGCUAAUACCGGAUAACAUUUGGAACCGCAUGGUUCUAAAGUGACAGAUGGUUUUGCUAUCACGUAUAGAUGGCCCCGCGCCGUAUUACCAAGUUGGGAAGGUAACGGCUUACCAAGGCGCCGAUACGUAGCCGACCUGAGAGGGUGAUCGGCCACACUGGAACUGAGACACGGUCCAGACUCCUACGGGAGGAAGCAGUAGGGAAUCUUCCGCAAUGGGGGAAAGCCUGACGGGGCAACGCCGCGUGAGUGAUGAAGGGUUUCGGCUCGUAAAACUCUGUUAUUAGGGAAGAACAAACGUGUAAGUAACUGUGCAUGUCUUGACGGUACCUAAUCAGAAAGCCACGGCUAACUACGUGCCAGCCGCCGCCGUAA
rnacentral:rRNA from 1 species